rfam:Ailuropoda melanoleuca scaffold42_10, whole genome shotgun sequence.
ACCUGGCUGGCUCCCUUGGUAGAGCAUGCAACUCUUGACCUCAGGGUUGUGGGUUCAAGCCCCACGUUGGGUA